GGUCAACAGCACGAAUUUUCGUGUGCUGGAUUUUGAACCACUUAAGGAAUAAAUCUGUUUACAAUGAUGCAACCUCUUUUGAAUUAAUAGAAGAUUUUGUACAGCAUUAGUAGAAAGAGCAAAAUGUAUAUUAUUAUAACACUUUAAAAAUUCAUAAAGGUGGCUAUAUGGAAGAGUGACAAAUUGGAGUAACCAUGGAAACUUGUCUUGCAGCAGCCUGUCGGCAUUCUUCUGGUGGAAGCCUGUGACCACCCUGCUCUGCAAGCUCAGCUUGCAGGGCCUGUUUGAUGCCUGGGCUUCUCAAACCUCAUGACACCUGAGUUCUCUCUGUUAUGCAAGGCCAGAAGACACACGGGAUUCCAAUUCCAGGAUUCCCUAUAGGUAGAAGUCACUGGAAGAUGCAGUAGGAUUUUGAGAGCUGGGCUAACCCAGAAGACCACUGCCACAGUCCCACCAGCACCACCAGUUUAUUGGACCCAAAGGAUUCAUUAAUAACAACAGACGGCAGCAAACAGCCUUUGUAUAUCAGCUUACGGUCCAACAGUGUCUCCUACCCUGCACGUUUUCAUGUACGUGGUCUCAUGUAUUUUACCCUCAUAGUUAGAACCCACACCAUUCCCAUCUAGUUUUAAGAUGUAAACUGAGUCCACCAAAUCGCUGCUUUGCCCCGAAUCACACACUAAGUGGAGAUUCUGGAUCCCAAACGCAGGAACUCAAUCCUCACUACAAUCUCUCAUUGCUCAUGAGAUAGCACCAACCCCAGACCCCAGAGAUGGAGCGAGACUUACAGAGGGCAAGGCUCCAGAGAAAAAGGUUCUGUUCAAUACUUUUCCCAUUUCACUCUUGCUGCCACCUCUGUCACUGUUCACAUCACACGCAAACUGUUGACCUCAUUGUUUUAACCAUGAGGGCUAGUUUUUUCUUAUUCAUUUUAAUAUUUCUAGCACCUGACAUAAUGGCUGUAGGCUUCAGUAUAUUCUGAUGAACAAGGACCUUCAAAAUGCCGACUUUCAGUGCAGAAUAAAAGCAGUAUAUUUUUUACUCCAAUGUUUUAACUGAUCCUGUUUUUCAUUUUCACCACACACACGGAUUUCAUGGGCAGUGACUGGCACAAUAUCUCAGAAAUAGAGAAUGAAUUAGUAUGUUUUUAGAACAACUCAUUUUCACUGCUAGCAAUACCAGGCCAAAUAUUCUACUACUCAUUCUAAAACUUGAUAGAGGCACCUUCUUUGGAAGAGUAUACCAUUCUCAGUUUUCUUCCUCACCCACUAAAAUAAAACAAGUCACACUGGACCAGCAAUUUUUUUUGUGUCAAACCAGAUGGCAGUAGUACCUGCCUUUGGAAUCAUGAUAAAUGCAGUCGCCCCACAGAGAAAUUCACUCUGGACCUGGACUCUUGUCGCCAAAUGUUGGCCAAUGCAAACAGCCAUUAAGAGAAAGAAUCCUGAUUUAUUUCUUUAAUUUUCUCAUGCAGACAGAGCAUUUGUGGUUAAAUGGUACCUUAAUUGAAUAAAAACAUUCUGAUUUUUAAGUCUGUAUUUUUCUGACCUUUGUAUAUGAUGGAAGGCCAUUGCAAAUCUGAUCUGGAAAAUCUCCCAGAUUUGAAUAGGUGUUUGCAUCCUAGAAUGCCCUGGAUAUUGUUCUGUGCCCUUAAGGUGGUGAAUACUAUAUGAAAGUAUGUACAGGUGUGUGUGUGUGUGUGUGUGUG